rnacentral:rRNA from 1 species
UUUACAUACAUGAACAAUUUGUUGUACAGAAUGUGAUAAAAAAGAGUAAUACAACUUUCAACAACCGGAUCUCUUGGCUCUCGCAUCGAUGAAGAACGCACGCGAAAUGCGAUAAGUAAUGUGAAUUGCAGAAUUCAGUGAAUCAUCGAAUCUUUGAACGCAUCUUGCGCUCCUUGGUAUUCCGAGGAGCAUGCCUGUUUGAGUGUCAUUAAAUUCUGUCAAAACAUACACUUGAGUGUGUUUUGGAUUGUGGGAGUGUCUGCUGGCUUUAUGAGCCAGCUCUCCUGAAAGACAUUAGCUUUGGGGGGGAGGUGCCAAGUCACUUCUGCCUUUCCAUUGGUGUGAUAGAUGAAUUAACUUAUCUACGCCAGGAAAGCAGGCUGCAGGUGAUGCACUGUGAUCUCUCUCUGCUCUCUAAUUGACAUUUUGUCUGAUAACUUGACCUCAAAUCAGGUAGGACUACCCGCUGAACUUAAGCAUAUCAAUAAGCGGAGGAAAAGAAACUAACAAGGAUUCCCUUAGUAACUGCGAGUGAAGAGGGAAGAGCUCAAAUUUAAAAUCUGGCAGUGUUUUGCUGUCCGAGUUGUAAUCUAGAGAAGUGCUGCCCGUGCUGGACCGUGUACAAAGUCUCCCUGA